GUUCAUCUCAAUUAUGUCAUUUUAUUAAAGGGGUUUAUGGUUAUGGUUAAAUUUGUAUUAUGAAUGCACUUUUUAUAUUGUAUUCUUUGGUAAUUCGUUAUUUAGGAACUGGGGCUCAUUUUGUUGUAACUAGUGAAAUUUGAAUUCAAUGUGUAAUGUAAAUUAGGAAUUGAAUGAUUAAGGUUAGGGUUAGGUCUUUACCAAAUUGCAGUCCAUUAAAUUUGUGUUUUUUUUUAAUUAAUAUAUUUGGGGUUUUAAUUCGUAAGCUGGUUAGUAAAAUAUGAUUUGGUUAUUUGUAUGGAAAGGACUGGGAUUCAGGGGUUUCAUAUAUAUAUAUAUAAAUUUGUGUUAGUUCACAUUUCUUGUGUAUCAUUUUUCAUUUCUGUGACUCUUUUUCAGGUUUGUGUUUUAUGAAUGUAGGUAACUCUUUUUUCUGUUUUGCUUUAUUUCGGCAAGUAAGUGUGAGUACAUAGACUUAUGAUAACUUUUUUCUGUUCUAAGAUCUGUGUUCUUUUCAGAUUUUCAUUCGCACAGGGUUUCAGGUUUUUGUUUUAUGAAUGUAGGUAAAUCUUUUUUCUGUUUUGUUUUGUCUUGGUAACCAAGUGUGAGUACGUAGAUAUAUAUAUAUAUAUAUAUAUAUAUACACACGUACAUACAUUUCAGUACAAAGAUAUCUGCCCUUUCCAAAUUUUCAUUUGCACAAACACAGAUAUGGAAAUGAAAAUUUGCCCCUCCACUUAGUCUUACUAAAUGAAAUGUACUGCCGGGAUCCGUUGAUUUUAUCAUUUCACCAGACAUUGAGGUGCCAUAUCUAAACUUGAUUGCCUAGGUGUAGUUGGGCUUCAUGUAUCCCUGGUUUAGAAGGAUGCGCCAUCCCCUGCUGCACCUGUCUAUUCGUUGCAUGUGGACUGACCGAGAAUGUACCUUGUUUGGAUAUAUAAUCCAAGUUGAGAGUAGAGUUAUGGGAGGCUGAUGGAAAACAACUUUCACGUUCGGUCCAUGGUGCACUUUUUCGUUUAGAAUUCCUUGUUCCCUUUCAUGUGAAUUCCCUAGUAGCAAGUUAAAACUUUUGGGGCCCUUUCUAUUCUAUCUCUCGAGUCUUGAAGAACAACCUACUCCCCUUUGGACUCCCUAUCUCUUUUGACUUUAUAUAUGCGGGCAUUUGUCAUCUAAAAGGGUGGUUUUGUCCCCCAAAAGUAUUUUUAUCCUCCACUUAUGAUGUGUACCCGUGUCACUUCAUUUAUAAAAAAAUCAAGCGGAUUGCUAUAGUACUUUUUUGGGGUGUAAACAUUGCAUCCCUUACUAGCAAUAUAUUGUAUAUUUUUAAAGGCCUGCAAUUACUUCAGAAAUUUAAAUGUUGCCUCUAUCCAACAAAACAUGUAGUUAAAGUUGGAUAGUUGCCUAUGCGUCAAAUGUGGAUUGUCUAUCAUUGGAUGGUUUGAAUCCUGCAGUAGGGCUCACACCAUCCAACGGUUGACAUUCCCCAUGUGACACAUAGGUGACUGCCCUUAGCAUUUAACAAAAGUUACACAGCAAGUUUUGUGUAGCAAUUACAAUAAUCAUCAAUAACUUUAGUUACUUGGUAAGUAUCUAAACUAAGGACAAUGUUAGACAUUGUGAUACCCAACAACCGACUCAUUUAGCUAUGGGCCCUACCACACCCAACCACACAGGAAUGUGGUGGGGCCCACAACCAAUGUGAGUGAGUCGGCAAUCGGGUGUGACAAUGAAAAGAGUUUUCCCAAAACUAAUUAGGAAAUAAACAAGGUAUUAAAUGUAUGUCUUGACUUCAUUGGACACAUGAAGUGAGCUAAACGGUGUAAAUCUUGUUCUAGAAUCUGGUUUGAUCUUGUAGUCCAAAUAAUCCCGUACCAUGAGAGAUGCUUACUUAUAAAUCUGAUCAUAUUAGAGCUUGCCAAGAAGUACUUGGGACUACGAUCGUUGGACAGCUAUCUCUCGAGCACAGGUUUAGUUUGGCCUCAAUGGGAAAAUAAAAUGGAGCACCUAACAACGCAUCUUCACAGACCAAGAACGAUAUGACCGAUCAAUAGAAAUUGUGAUAUCACGGUUGUCCUCCCUACAUGGUAUCAUCAAUUCAACAUAAAGAAGCCAUACAACAAGCUGUCAGAUGGUUUACACGUCAGCAACCGAGCUACUGAUUCUAACAUAAAAGUUAGGCUUUAGCUAAUUUGGAAAGGAUCUGCCACCAAUGUUGUGUGACGUGUUGUGAUUGAUCAUUGAUAGCACGUAGGUGUAAUAACGUGGUAUCACCCAUUGUACCUAAGUUUUUCUCAUUGGAAGAGAAUACAAGUGAGAAUAUCUAUUUUUGCAUUAUUUUUGCACAAAGUGGUUUUCUCAAGAAUUGAACUUGUGUUCUCAAGCUUGAAAAAUCUUUUGCUCUCAGUAUAACCAUUUAACUAGGAAUUAAGUUUACAUAUUAAUUUUGUCUCUAAAUUCCAGAGAGGCUUGAAGUUAGAUUAUAAUCCCCUGAGUGAUAAUCUUAAGCUAGAUGGUUUACGCGUCAGCAACCAAGCUACUGAUUCUAACAUAAAAGUUAGUCUUUAGCUAAUUUGGAAAGGAUAUGCAACCAAUGUUGUGUGAUGUAUUGUGAUUGUUCAUCGAUAGCACGUAGGUGUAAUAAAGUGGUAUCACCCAUUGUACCUAAGUUUUUCUCAUUGGAAGAGAAUACAAGUGAGAAUAUCUAUUUUUUUGCAUUAUUUUUGCACAAAGUGGUUUUUCUCAAGAAUUGAACUUGUGUUCUCAAGCUUGAAAAAUCUUUUGCUCUCAAUAUAACCUUUUAACUAGGAAUUAAGUAUACGUAUUAAUUUUGUCUCUAAAUUCCAGAGAGGCUUGAAGUUAGAUUAUAAUCCCCUAAGUGAUAAUCUUAGGCUAGGCUUUUUAAAAGAUGACUGCUGGCUGCAUCAAUAUCCUAGGUUAUGAAGAAGUUGGUUUAGAGUUCAUUUUUGUUGUCUUAUUUGUUGUGGGUUAGCUAGGGCUUAUGAAGAGGUAGACAGAAAAUUAAAUGCUGCCUAUAUCCAAAAAAACAUGCAGUUAAAAUUAGAUAGUUGCCUAUGCGCCAUGUAUGGAUUGUCCACCGUUGGAUGGUGUGAAUCCUAUAGCAGGGCUCACAUCAUUCAACGGUUGACAUUCCCCAUGUCAUACAUAGGCGGCUAUGCUUAGUAUUUAACAAAAUUUAUACAAACACUUAUCAAGUAGCAAUUGCAAUAAUCACUUAUAACAACAUUAGUUACUUGGCAAGUAUCUAAGGUAGCUGGGAAAUAAGUAUGGUAUUACAUGGUUUAUGUCUUGCCUUCAUGGUAAUCAUAUUAUUAACUUGAGCAAAGCCCGAACAUUACUUAUUUUUAUUAAUAGUACUAAUUUAUUAUUGAAAUAUUAUUUUAUUAAAUGUUGCAUUUUACUGAAAAUAUGCAGUUAAAGUUGGAUGGUCCCUCACACGUUGCAUGAGGACUGUCCAUCGUUGGAUGGUGUGGAUUCCGUAGUGAGACUGAGACCCAUCUCAUUUAACGGUGGACAGUUCUCAUGGGACGCGUGGUCAAUUUUCCUUAGCAUUUAAUACGUUUAAGAAUUUAGAACACUUAUUGACUACCAGUUACAAUAAUCAACACUAAUAACAUAGCAACACUGAUUACUUGGUAGAUAUCUAAGCUAACUAGGAAAUUAUACUGGUAAUAAUUCUGCCUCUGAAUCCAGAAAAAUAUGAAUAUUAUAGCUCUGACUCAUAUUAUAGGCUAGGCUUCUUAAAAAUCAUAACGAAGUGGCAGCAUCAAUAUUCCCUAGUUAAUAAAAACUGAGUCUUGAGUUUGUUCUUGUUGCCUUAUUCACUAUGGGUUAGCCAGAACUUAGAAAGGAAGACUUGUUGUGGAGAUUUGGCUUCAAAUUUGGUAAUAUUGAUGCCAAGGGAUGCCAUGCUAUGGUGGCAAAUGAAGAGGGAAAGUGAGUGCUUGGUGUGACAAUUGGAGCUUGCAUGUUGCAGUUCUUUUUGUAAUUUCUUUAUCCCUCCUCCCCUUCCUCCUCUCUCUUUUAUUUCGGGGUGCAAUUUUUAUAUCACCUAUGUUUAAUCUAAGUUGCUUUUCAUGCAUUAUCAGCGGGCAAGGUGAGAAAUUAUUGACAGACUGGUUCUCUUCCGCUGAUCUUUAAGUCCUUAAUUGGAUAGCUUUUCUGUUGAGCAUCAACUUUACUUGAAUAAUGGUGCUGGCAGUUCUGAUGAUUUCAUUAAGUACUACUGUAUAACGUGCCCAGGGCCUCUGUUAGUGAUUUUUAAGAAACCUCACAUUCAGAUGGUGGGUGCACAGGAUAUGCUAAUAUUUUAUUUCCAUAUGUUGCACAUAUAACAGUGUCUGGUGUUUGAAUGUUAAAGCCAUUGCAUAUGCAUAUUGCUGAUCAUUAAUGGAGGCCAUAGAGAUGCUAUCAACAACUGUUCCUAGCAAGCUAUAUUUGUCACUUGUGGUUCUAAUUCCUUGGAGAUUUUUUUUUUUUUUUGUUAAUGGGUACUAAAAGGCGUUCUGCUUUUGUAACCCGCUGUAGAAGCAUCCCAUAUGACAGGUGAACUUGGUCCUAUCCAAUUUGGAUGUUCUACCUCAAACUUGCAGAGACCUCUCAUCUCAAUUGAUGGAAGUACAGUUUAUGAUCUAGAUGACAAAUUCAAAGUGGUGCUUCAGUUGGGUGAGAGGGGACAGCAAUGAACCCUAGAUGACGUUGACUGGUGAGCAGGGGAACCUGUGCUGUUGGUUUUGCUGUUCAUGCAACCUAGGAGUGAUCUGCACAAUUAUUCUAACCAAGGUGUCUUGGCGAAGAGGGUAGAAGUCCAAUUUGUGAUGUUAAGAAGUUGCAUUUAUAGAUGAAGCAUAAAGAAAGCCAAAUUUCAAUCUCUCAUUCUUAGUUUUGUGUUUUCAAGUACAAGCUUCCUUAUUUUUAGUUUUCCGAUGAGGCAAAAUAAUCACUGGAUCAAUUUAUUACCAUGUUGGCUUCUGCACAAACAUUAUCAGUUUUUACUGAUUUAGGGCGGAUAAGGAUUCUAUUAUGACGUUGACAUCAUAAAUUCCAGAGUAUUUUCCUAGAAUGGAUGACCUUUGACCACCGAUACAUCAUAGGCUGUUGGCAAGUACCAUAACUACGGCCGGAGGCACCACACCUGCAGUUAUUGCCUAUAGUGUACUUCGAGAACUCUUUUCAUCUUUAUGUUGUUUAUGUCAUGGAUGCCUUGUAAUGUAAACAAAAGUUACAGAAUGCUUCUGCUAUGCUUGCUGAAGUGUUGGUGCUCGGGGAGGGUCUGAAACUGCUUUGUUUUUGGGGGUUAUUUUGGCGUUUUGAUCGAAGAAGUUCGCAAGACUGUUUCGAAGCUGCUAUAUAUGUAGAUAUCAAACUGUUGUUGGAAAGGUGAUUGCAUGCCGGUUUUGAAGCUUCAGGUUGUCGAUGAUUUAGCUGCUGCUAUAUGUGUAGAUAUUGAACUGUUGUUGGAAAGGAGCAAGGGUUCAGUGCUAUCUUUGUCUCCUCGCCAUUGUAAUGGAGUUGCUCAUGUCCUCAGCAAACAUACUUUGACAGUUGAAGAAGGAAAGUGUUGGUGGGACGUGUUAACUCCAAUGGCUAAAAAAUAUGAUAUGCUUGUUGGCAUUUUUGGGUUCAUACUGAUUGUUUCAGAUUGAUUGCUUCAUCGUUGCUGUGAAUGUGGACAUAUGUAAAUUUGACAUAUUGGUUGGAACUUGCA